UCCAGGUUAACCCUGGCAGUCUCCUUAGAGUGCCCAACUUAAUGCUGGCAACUAAGAACAGGGGUUGCGCUCGUUGCGAGACUUAACCCAACAUUUCACAACACGAGCUGACGACAGCCAUGCAGCGCCUGUCUCUACAUUCCCCGAAGGGCACUUCGUCAUCUCUGACAAAUUCGUAGGAUUUCAAACCCAGGUAAGGUUCUGCGCGUUGCUUCGAAUUAAACCACAUGAUCCACCGCUUGUGCGGGCCCCCGUCAAUUCCUUUGAGUUUUAGUCUUGCGACCGUACUCCCCAGGCGGAGAACUUAACGCGUUAGCUACGUCACGGCAGGGGUUAAUUCCCGCCACAACUAGUUCUCAUCGUUUACAGCGUGGACUAC
rnacentral:misc_RNA from 1 species